rnacentral:misc_RNA from 1 species
UAAGAAACUGAAAUAUCAAAAACCUUCAUGGUUUUUGGUGGUGUAAAAAGUACAAAGUUGCAGUCAGUCAGUUCUUCACAUUAGCAACAUAAAUAAAGAAUAAAUGAAUAAGUAAAAUAAAAUCAACCAAGGAAAGCAUUAUACAGUAAUACUCUGCACAAAACAUAACAAAACUAUGAUUGUUCAACAUUCAAAGAAAUGGCUAUUUGCAUAAUACACAAAUGUGAAAAUGUCUUUAACUCUGUCACAAUAACUACUUACCAAGCUAAUCCAAGAAAGCCAA